GGGCGCCUCCGCGUGGAGGGCGAAGCCGAGUCCUUCCAGAAGAAGUUCGAGAACUUCCUCCACAACUCCAUCAUCAUCCCCAGGCCACCAUGGAAGGUGACAUCGGUGAACAAGAACCCGCAGAGGACCCCGAAGCGGCGCCGCGACGUCCCGGC